rnacentral:Y_RNA from 1 species
GGCUGGUCUGAAGGUAGUGAGUUAUCUCACUUGAUCGUUCUCAGUCAGUUACAGAUUGAACUCCUUGUUCUACAACUUUUCCCCUUCUCACUACUGUACUUGACUAGUCUUUA